UUUUUGCUAUAAAUAGAGGUGUUUGCAUUCAUUGUAAAUCAUCACAAAAAUUAGAGUGUUCAUUACCAAGAAGAGUAAGAACAAGAGUGAUCCUAGAGAGUGAUCCUCGUUUGUGAGUUUUGAGAGUUUUUUUUUAUGAGUUUUGUAAAUACUCGUAUAAUCUAUUCUUGUGAGUAAUAGAGGUUGUUUUUCUCUCAAAUUUGUGUUUACCAACGCCCAAUCGAUUCUCAUACCCCCAACAAGUCGUGUGAUCUAUUCUUGUGAGUAAUAGAGGUUGUUUUUCUCUCAAAUUUGUGUUUACCAACGCUUAAUCGAUCCACAUACCCCAACAAGUAGUAUCAGAGCAAGGUUAGAGGCGUUGAUCGAGUUUUUAGGUGACGUGCCAAAUUUGAGUUUUCGGAGCUUUGCUCGAAAUCCAAUUCUGAUGGCACCAUUGGAUUCGUAUCGUCGAACGGAGUCCAACGCACCAAACAACGACCUAAUCGGAGUUCAAACGAGCCCAGAAAUCGCGGUCAAAGUUUGGUCAACUUUGCUGGAGGCU
rnacentral:lncRNA from 1 species